GACGAACGCUGGCGGCGUGCUUAACACAUGCAAGUCGAACGGAAAGGCCCUGCUUUUGUUGGGUGCUCGAUUGGCGAACGGGUGAGUAACACGUGAGUAACCUGCCCUUGACUUUGGGAUAACUUCAGGAAACUGGGGCUAAUACCGGAUAGGAGCUCCUGCUGCAUGGUGGGGGUUGGAAAGUUUCGGCGGUGGGGGAUGGACUCGCGGCUUAUCAGCUUGUUGGUGAGGUAGUGGCUUACCAAGGCUUUGACGGGUAGCCGGCCUGAGAGGGUGACCGGCCACAUUGGGACUGCGAUACGGCCCAGAAUCCUACGGGAGGCAGCAGUGGGGAAUCUUGCACAAUGGGCGGAAGCCUGAUGCAGCAACGCCGCGUGCGGGAUGCCGGCCUUCGGGUUGUAAACCGCUUUCGCCUGUGACGAAGAGUGAGUGACGGUAAUGGGUAAAGAAGCACCGGCUAACUACGUG
rnacentral:rRNA from 1 species